GAGGAGGAAGAGGAGGAGGUGGGACGAUUGUCAGCGCUGCGGUCUCCACUGCAGCAAAUCAGGUGGCAUUGCAUCGAUGGAAACCACCAGGGAGGCAGACGGAGCCACGGCCGGAGAGCGAGCGGCAGGUGGCACCGAAUAUUAAACUAACACUUCCUCCUGCUCCGCGACAGGCUCGGGAUUAGCGCUGCCCACAGAGCCGGCCCACUGAAACUCGCAGGCACAUUCAUUCCUGCUGAUGCCAAGGCAGCUGCGGCUCCGAAGGAGACCUGGUGUCUGUGACUCAACUAUCCCCGACUGUCUCUACCCUCCCUCGACUGUGGCUGUAAAACCGUUUCGACCAAGAAAUGGAGAGGAGGGGUGCGGAGGCGGGGCAGGGAGGAUGGGAUUCGUCCAUACGCCCCCCCCAUGUCUCGCACUGGGGUUGGGGUGGAGCUUCCGUCCAGGUUGGCUCUACGCGAGGGCCUUCUCCCCUCAGCCGGAGGCCCGAGGAUCCCGGAAUUUCCAUCCCGAGGCCGAGCUCAGGGAAAGACAUCUCCAUCCACACAUCUCAGGGCCAGCCGGAAACGCUUUCGCUUAUCCCUCGUGCCCACGGGACCCCCAGCUAACCUCCGGCCGGGGCCGGCGACGGACCUUCGGCCACCGCCCCUCUCUAGGGUGGCCCCCUGACACGUGAAGCUGCACGUGACACCGGGCACGCAAAAUGAACACGGAACGCUCUGCGGAAGUCCGUCCGUGGCCGCCGAACCCACGUGGGGAACGUUACGACGGUCACGACGAACGACGCGGCGCCCUACGAAUGGUUUUAAACUUACAAUUAGAGGAGCUCGAGACCGCCA